AGAGUUUGAUCCUGGCUCAGGGCGAACGCUGGCGGCGUGCUUAACACAUGCAAGUCGAGUGCGCGCCUGUAGCAAUACAGGUGGCGCACGGCGCACGGGUGCGUAACACGUGGGUAAUCUGCCCUUCGAUGGGGAAUAACCUCGCGAAAGCGAGGCUAAUUCCGCAUAACAUUCCGAGAACUUUGGUUUUUGGAUUCAAAGGCGUAAGUCGUCGGAGGAGGAGCCCGCGCACGAUUAGCUAGUUGGUAGGGUAGUGGCCUACCAAGGCUAUGAUCGUUAGCUGGUCUGAGAGGAUGGCCAGCCACACUGGAACUGAGACACGGUCCAGACUCCUACGGGAGGCAGCAGUGGGGAAUCUUGCACAAUGGGCGAAAGCCUGAUGCAGCGACGCCGCGUGGGGGAUGAAGCUUCUCGGAGUGUAAACCCCUUUCGACCCGGACGAAUGCCCCGCAAGGGGACUGACGGUACGGGUAUAAGAAGCCCCGGCUAACUACGUGCCAGCAGCCGCGGUAAGACGUAGGGGGCCAGCGUUGCUCGGAAUUACUGGGUGUAAAGGGUUCGUAGGCGGUGUAGCAAGUUGGGAGUGAAAUCUCUGGGCUCAACCCAGAGGCUGCUUCCAAAACUGCUGUGCUUGAGUGUGGGAGAGGCGCGUGGAAUUGCAGGUGUAGCGGUGAAAUGCGUAGAUAUCUGCAGGAACACCCGUGGCGAAAGCGGCGCGCUGGACCACUACUGACGCUGAGGAACGAAAGCUAGGGGAGCAAACAGGAUUAGAUACCCUGGUAGUCC
rnacentral:rRNA from 1 species